CGGUGUUCAACUGGCGUGUCCGCGGGACGUCCUGCCGGUGGGCUUAGCCCGCAAGGGCGGCCCAACUUCAAAUCCCAUCGCGGUGCUCUUCACUGAGUGUCGAGGUGGGCCGGCACGUUUACUUUGAACAAAUUAGAGUGCUUAAAGCAGGCUAAAACUUCGCCUGAAUACUGUGUGCAUGGAAUAAUGGAAUAGGACCUCGGUUCUAUUUUGUUGGUUUUCGGAAACCCGAGGUAAUGAUUAAUAGGAACGGAUGGGGGCAUUCGUAUUGCGACGUUAGAGGUGAAAUUCUUGGAUCGUCGCAAGACGGACAGAAGCGAAAGCAUUUGCCAAAAACGCUUUCAUUGAUCAAGAACGAAAGUUAGAGGUUCGAAGGCGAUCAGAUACCGCCCUAGUUCUAACCAUAAACGAUGCCAGCUAGCGAUCCGUCGACGUUCCUCCGAUGACUCGACGGGCAGCUUCCGGGAAACCAAAGCUUUUGGGUUCCGGGGGAAGUAUGGUUGCAAAGCUGAAACUUAAAGGAAUUGACGGAAGGGCACCACCAGGAGUGGAGCCUGCGGCUUAAUUUGACUCAACACGGGAAACCUCACCAGGCCCGGACACCGGAAGGAUUGACAGAUUGAGAGCUCUUUCUUGAUUCGGUGGGUGGUGGUGCAUGGCCGUUCUUAGUUGGUGGAGCGAUUUGUCUGGUUAAUUCCGAUAACGAACGAGACUCUAGCCUGCUAACUAGGCGUAUUUUCGACAUCUCAAAGGUCCGUCGUCCCGGCCCUCGGGUCGUGGGCGUGCGCGAUUUUUACUGUCGGCGUACUAUCAAUUCUUCUUAGAGGGACAGGUGGCUUCUAGCCGCACGAGAUUGAGCAAUAACAGGUCUGUGAUG
rnacentral:rRNA from 1 species